GGUUUAAUUCGAUGAUACGCGAGGAACCUUACCCGGGCUUGAACUGCAGGCGAACGAUUCAGAGAUGAUGAGGCCCUUCGGGGCGCCUGUGGAGGUGCUGCAUGGUUGUCGUCAGCUCGUGCCGUGAGGUGUCGGCUUAAGUGCCAUAACGAGCGCAACCCCUGUUCUCAGUUGCCAUCGGGUAAUGCCGGGCACUCUGUGAAGACUGCCUCCGCAAGGAGUGA
rnacentral:rRNA from 1 species